UCCUAGCUUGAAGCUUGUUCUCUAGCUUGACUCCUGGUUUGAUUUUCUAGCCCCUACUUGAUGACUCUAGCUCCUACUGCCUAUGACUCAACUCAGACAGGGAAUGUUGUGAUCAUUCCAGCCGGUUUACAAUUUACUUGUGGUUGUAUUGCAGAUUUGUUGAGAGAUGGUGCAUGCCAGCAACACAGAGGCCAGCCGAAACAGUUUUCAUGUGGAAGCGUGCCCUAGCUGUGGAGGUGGAGGGUGACUUGCACAGCGGUGAGAACAGAGGAAUUUCAAUUCUACCCUUGUCCUGCCCAAGGGCAUACCUUGAUUGAGCAAGAAGCCAACCUCUUUCCCCAGUCAGUGUCAUGCAUGCAACUAAUGGGAUGGCAUGCUCCUCUGCCCCAGCCUGUUCCACCCCAGGUUGAUGGAAAAUGCAAUAUCCAAUGGGACAUACCAUUUAUUAAAAUGUCAUGUGGUCACAUG